rnacentral:rRNA from 1 species
UACGUAGGGUGCGAGCGUUGUCCGGAAUUCCUGGGCGUAAAGAGCUCGUAGGUGGUUUGUCGCGUUGUUCGUGAAAACUCACGGCUUAACUGUGAGCGUGCGGGCGAUACGGGCAGACUGGAGUACUGCAGGGGAGACUGGAAUUCCUGGUGUAGCGGUGGAAUGCGCAGAUAUCAGGAGGAACACCGGUGGCGAAGGCGGGUCUCUGGGCAGUAACUGACGCUGAGGAGCGAAAGCGUGGGGAGCGAACAGG